GGGGGCGACCAAGCAUCCUCCAUCAAACCCUAACUCAUACAAAUUUCACAACAAAUUGAAGGCUCAAAUCAGUUCCAAAACGAAAUCCGAGCAUAGAUUGGUGAUCUCCUUAGUAAAGGGAUCAUAAGGAAAGGAAACCGGAAUGUCGAGCGGACAAGCCGGUGGUGACGCGCGUUUGAAGGGAGCGCUUUAAAGGAAAUGCAGGUGACGUUGGUCUCAUUCCGGAGGGCGAUCAAGCAAGAAUCCAAGAACCAAACACUAUAUUUUGAAGCUUCCGCUCUAAUCUAACCUUGUUUUAGACAAUGUUUGUUUUGUAAACACUAAACCAAAUGUUGAAUGUUUUAAACUAGUUGGAUAGUUAACUAAAUUUCUAUUAUCGUGUAAGUUUGUUAACGUAACUAAGUUUUGUGCAAGUAAUGCAUUUAUUUUAAAAAAAAUUGUGUUCUUUUAUGUAAAAACUUUAAUUAAAUGAGACGGGUGUUACAGUGAACGUCAGGAUACGGUUAAGUAUACAAAACAUCUUAAAGCAUGAUUGAAACUACAAAGUGACAAAAAAUCAUUUGAAUAUUACAAAAACAUUGUUAAAUCCAAGCAUAGAAUGAUAGGAAGCGGUUAAAUACAGACUUGGCAUAGAAGGCAGCAAGAUAAAUACCAUUGAAGUACCAAUUAAACAACUAACAAACAAUCUGUAACACAGCCACCUACACUUUCAUCCAGAAAGAAAAUCAUCCAUCUAUUAAACAACAAAAAAACCCCUAAUUCCUUAGCCUUGUGCAGAAAAGCAACCUCACUCUCAAGACUAUGCUAGGGAUCUGAGGUGGCAGGAACAUCCUUCUCGGGAUCUUGUGAGGUGCUUGCUUCUGAAACUGUUAUGAUGAUGUUGCCGGUUUCGUUGACACCAAAAUAGACACUGCCAUCUGGACCAACAACUACUCUUGAUGAGUCAUCUUCAAAAUCAGAAUCAUCAUCAUCCAUGUCACCCUCUCAUAAUAUUUCUAGAGCUUCACGACAAUUGAACCUUUCAAGGCUUGCAAGCAACAGUCGCUGGAAUAGCUUGUGGUUUUCGUUACGCACGUGUUUGUAACCAUACCUGUUAAUAAAUGUGCACUUUGAGAAUUGCCACAAAAUGUUAAUGUAUGUAAGUAGUUAUUGGACCCAAAUGAGGUUGGGUAAACGGUUAAAUCUUUUGAGCAGGUUGGUUGAC
rnacentral:lncRNA from 1 species